AUAUUUCGGAACUGAGUCUAGUUCCUUCGAUAUCAGUGUAAUCUAAUAAUCAUGAUAUUUGCUGUGUUGGUGUACUCUGAGUGUAUAUCCACACUGAUAUCGAAGGAACUAGACUCAGUUCCGAAAUAU